UACGUAGGCGGCUUUUUAAGUCAGUGGUGAAAGUUUGCGGCUUAACCGUAAAAUUGCCAUUGAUACUGAAGAGCUUGAGUACAGUUGAGGUAGGCGGAAUGUGUAGUGUAGCGGUGAAAUGCUUAGAUAUUACACAGAACUCCGAUUGCGAAGGCAGCUUACUAAACUGAGACUGACGCUGAGGUACGAAAGCGUGGGGAGCGAACA
rnacentral:rRNA from 1 species